GGCCUCUUGCCAUCGGAUGUGCCCAGAUGGGAUUAGCUAGUAGGUGGGGUAACGGCUCACCUAGGCGACGAUCCCUAGCUGGUCUGAGAGGAUGACCAGCCACACUGGAACUGAGACACGGUCCAGACUCCUACGGGAGGCAGCAGUGGGGAAUAUUGCACAAUGGGCGCAAGCCUGAUGCAGCCAUGCCGCGUGUAUGAAGAAGGCCUUCGGGUUGUAAAGUACUUUCAGCGGGGAGGAAGGGAGUAAAGUUAAUACCUUUGCUCAUUGACGUUACCCGCAGAAGAAGCACCGGCUAACUCCGUGCCAGCAGCCGCGGUAAUACGGAGGGUGCAAGCGUUAAUCGGAAUUACUGGGCGUAAAGCGCACGCAGGCGGUUUGUUAAGUCAGAUGUGAAAUCCCCGGGCUCAACCUGGGAACUGCAUCUGAUACUGGCAAGCUUGAGUCUCGUAGAGGGGGGUAGAAUUCCAGGUGUAGCGGUGAAAU
rnacentral:rRNA from 1 species